rnacentral:rRNA from 1 species
GACGAACGCUGGCGGCGUGCUUAACACAUGCAAGUCGAACGGAAAGGCCCUGCUGUUGUGUGGGGCUCGAGUGGCGAACGGGUAAGUAACACGUGAGUAACCUGCCCUUGACUUUGGGAUAACUUCAGGAAACUGGGGCUAAGACCGGAUAGGUGCUCCUGCUGCAUAGUAUGGGUGGGAAAGUUUCGGCGGUUGGGGAUGGACUCGGGGCUUAUCAGCUUGUUGGUGGUGUGGUGGCUUACCAAGGCUUUGACGGGUAGCCGGACUGAGAGGGUGAGCGGCCACAUUGGGACUGAGAUACGGCCCAGACUCCUACGGGAGGCAGCAGUGGGGAAUAGUGAACAAGGGGAGGAAGCCUGAUGCAGCAACGCCGCGUGCGGGAUAACGGCCUUCGGGUUGUAAUCCGCUUUCGCCUGUGACGAAGCGUGAGUGACGGUAAUGGGUAAAGAAGCACCGGCUAACUACGUG